CCCUUCUGUCUGCGCGCCCUUUCUUUGCUCAGGGCCGCUCGCUCACCCCUAUUGCCAUCACAUCACAGGCACGUGCACAUCGAGAGGAUUCACCGUCCGUGUGCGCCACGGCGGCUAAACGUCUACAGACUAAAGAAGGGAGGUCUGUUGUUUGGGUAAUAAUUGUUGCGCUGUGGGAGGAGGGGAGCAGCACUCCACUGUAUCGACAGGUUCUCCUCCUAACCCGCGCUGACCAUCGGCACGCGUCGACCGACAGGCAUGGAUAGGCGCCGACGAGUUUAUAGACACACACAUAUAUAUAUAUAUGGGCGCACACGUACAUCCAUACUGCGCUGCUUGCGUCUCUUUCUCGCUUUCGCAUACUUCUCUUUUGCUGUGCAAGCAGGCGCAGGAAAGCACUCGACCAGUGCGCGAAAACGAAGUGGACCACACGAAGCGAACUCCCUGCCGUGAUGGACUUCGAGGAGGCCUGGCGGGAGGCCAUGGGGGAAGAACAGCCGCCGCCGCCGCAGCAGGCACGUGGCGGCCACGAUGGCGGCGGUGGGGGCGACGACGCGUAUGAUGAGUUUAGCGACGAGGAUCUUCUGCGGUCUGUCCCCUGCGCGAAUGACGCUGCUGUGGCGCCCGCGUUUGGCCCAGUGUGUCCCAUGGCACCGGUGUCUCCUGCCAUGACUUCCGUUGCCACAGCCGUACCAAAGUCCUCCUCGCCGCGCCCUGCGGCUGCUUCGGCUGUUGCGGCGGCCAUGCCCUCUCUGCCUCCGUCCUCGGCGUCACAGCGGGGCGCCCUCGAGUUUCCUCCUGUCGGCGUCGCCAGCUUUUUGCUCCGUGGAGACAACGGGCGAGUGCGCUGGGUGACGACUACUGGUGGCGCUGCCGCGUCUGCCGCUCAGAGACCAGGUGUGCGGAAGAUCUCACAGACCGUGGGCCACUCGCACCGGCGCGAGGUAGUGGACGUCGAGGCCAUGGAAGCAGAUGAUGGCGUUGUCACCGUGCGUGGAGACGAAGAGGCGGCAGCACUUUGUAGCAGCGGCGCAGCUAUGCAGCUGAGCGACCGGGAGGACGAGGACGACGAGGACGACGAGGAAGACGUGCCCGACGCGGCGCCUUCGUCGAUGCACCGUCGGGCGAGCGACCCUGCAGGCUUUCUUCGCGACGGUUUAAACGCUCGAGCGAUGCUGCGUGACAUCUACGCUGAAGAGGUGAAGCGGCAGCAACAGCGAGUGAAGCAGCAGGAGGAUACGGAGCGGCAGAGUGUGCAGCGGACAGCAGCAGGCCGGGAUCAUUGCGAGCUGGAGGCGCUUGGCGACCGCGACGAGGUACUGGACGGUGAAGAGAGAGAGCGGCGCCGACUCAUGGAGCCGGCACGUCAAUGCCGCGCCGCCACUGCAGGCACUCUUGCGCGCCCUCGGCCACAUCGCGCCCCCUCCAACGGGGAGCUGUGGGUCACCAAGUACAGCCCCAAGCUGUUCCACGAGGUGCUCAGCGAUGAAACCGUUAACCUACGACUCCUGCAGUGGCUCAAGUCGUGGGAUGCUUAUGUGUUCCCAGAUGACGCGCCUUCGGCAGCAAAGGGCGCGCAGGCAUCAGCUGCCGGUGCUACAGCCGCGGCUUCACCUCCCGCGGAGCGUAUUGCCGUCCUUACCGGGCCGCCUGGAGUUGGCAAGACGACACUCGUCCACGUCCUCGCCGCGCAUUGCGGCUACGAGGUGAUCGAGGUGAACGCGAGUGUUGAGCGGACGACAUCGCGGCUGGAGGCGCUCAUCAAGACCGCGGUGGCCGCGGCCGGGCCGGCUACUGGAGGUCGCGUCCGCCGGCCAACGGCGGCGUCGGCUGCUGCUGGGUUGGCGGUGCCCGCUAUCGAUCACCGUGCAAAUCUUGGCCUUGAGACAGGUCACAGCGGUGACGCUUCCGGUGCCGAAAUGGCAGCAGCAGCAGCGCUGUCGUCGCCGCGUGCCUCUUCCUCCCUGGUGCAGCACUUGCUCCGUCCCAAGUGCCUUGUCAUCGAUGAGAUGGACGGCAUUGCCAACAGCAGUGUGGCCGCGUACCUCAUCCAGCAGCAGCUGCAUCGGCCGGUAUUCUGUCUCUGCAACGACUUUUACGUGCCAUCCCUGCGACCGCUGCGGCAGCAUUGCUCCCACGUGUACCACAUGCCGCCCAUUCGUCCUCAGCGACUACUCUCACGGCUGGAGGAGAUCGCGCGGCGAGAGGGGGCGACGAUGUUCGACUCGAUGGCCCUAUCAGAGCUCAUCAAGACCAGCGGUGGUGAUGUGCGGAGCUGCCUGAAUGCGAUGCAGCUCAUCAGCAGCGCUGUACACCAGCAGCAGCAACAGCAGCGUCUUGAUGCAGGGACUGGCGCGCCCUCCUCUGCCACCGCGGCACCCGCCGUCACGACGCCGUCGCGGCACACCGUCACGGAACUCAUUCGACGCAUGCAAGGCAAGGACACCCGUGUUGCGUUGCGUGACAGCUGGCAGCUACUCUUCACCCGGCCCGAGCGUAGCAAGGCUGUGCAGCUGCUGAAGCAGGAGUGCGGAAUAGACUACGAGGCCUUCGUUGAGGCCGCCGCCGCCCAGCACAACCGCAACGUUGUUCCUGCACGUCGUGCGCUUGAGCGAGAGAGGGCAGUCGGUGCUCCGGCAGGCGGGGGCUACGCUCCGACACGGACGGCGGAGUCGAGAGGUGGCGGUAGCGCGUCGGCGCGUGCAGCGAUGCAGCCAGUAGCGAUGGGUUUCCGUGUCGAUCCCGGUUACCUGUACGCUGCUCAGAAGCUGUCUCGCUGCCCCGACAGCGGCAGUCUGGUGGACGGCCUCCAGGAGAAUUAUCUGAACCGCGCCUACACCGACUACAGCUUUUCCCGCACCAGUGCCACGGCUGACAGCUUCUCGCAGCAGGACGUGGUGGUCGCGGCGGCCUUUCAGCAUCCGGAGCUGAUGGGGACGGCGGAGCGGCUGUGUCACGUGUCUGCGCUGACGUGUUACGUGCACUGCAGCACCGCGGCGCGCGGGAGCCGCAUCGAGUUUCCACGCGAGCAGGUGACACUGCGCCGCUUGCAGUCGGAGUUGAAGCAUGCUGCUCAGCAAUUCCGUGAAGGGUGCCGCCCGCACGCCUCCGCGUUCCUCGGCGAUGACGAGGUUGUAAGCACCGAUGUAGUACCCAUGCUACUGCGGUGCCUGUUCGACCGAUCGCUGCGUCUGCCUGCGCACUCCAUCUCCUCUUUCAGUCGGCUGCCUCCAGCAGAGCAGCGCCUGCUGCAGGCAUCUGUGGCCCGUCACGUCGAGUACGGUCUGGACUACCAACGGGAUCGGCAGUACACCCCGUCGCCCGCCGCUGCCGCUGCUGGUGCCGCUGGAGCGUCGCUCAGUUCAUUCGGCUCGCUGGCCGCGGCGAACGUGGAGGAUGAGGCGCCGUGGCGACUGACUCCAGAGCUGGACAGACUCCUUGCAGGUGUGGUGCGUCCGGUGGAACGCGCGCUUGCAGGAAGCGGCGGCGGUGAUUAUCGUGGCUACUCCUUCUCUUCACGCUCGUCGCGCUUCGGUGGGAGCGGUGCCGGUCCGCGUGACGGCAGCGGCCUCCACACAUCACCGUCUCCCUCAGAUGCGAAAGGCAGCACUGGCUCUCCGGCCUUUGCAACCAAGUCAGGUGGUGGCGACAGCCGUGAGCCGUCGAGAACGCCGUCGGUGGCAUCCGUGAUGAUGCCGAUGCGGAACGAGGUGCGGCAGAUCCUGUCUGGUGAGAUCCGCCAGCAUCGCAUCAUGCAGUCCAUGGAGCUCCUGAAGCGUCAGUCGCAGCAGUCGACACCGGAAGCGCUCGAGCGAGGUGUGAAGCGGCAGCGCGCUGACAGCGUUGCCUCCACCGCCACAGCCUCGUCAAAUCCCGCCCACAAAGCCGACUCUACAGUGAAGGGUGAUGUUCGCGAAGCUGAGCAUGCAACGGCGGCAGACGGCGCAGAGGGGGUGGAUGCACCCGCCAACAAGUGGCCGCGAUCAGACGGGACCAUGACCGCGUCAGUAACUGUGACGACCACCACGACGGUGCGGCGCGACUUCUUUGGUCGGCCACUGCCAAGCACCGACUCUGCAGGGGCAGCGGCAGCAUCGACUGUUAGCACCACGCGCAGUGGCCCUCGUGCUGUUGGCGACCGUCUCAGCGCCAGCGCCACCGCCGCCGCGUCACCGUCGUCGCUGGUUUCACCGUCAUCGGGAGACGCUGGCAAGGGUCGCUUUCCCCGCCCGCACUCUCCUUAUCCACCCACCGCGAACGCCUGCGUGCGCUACGUGUACCAGGACGGCUCCACGAAUGCCGUCAAGAUGCCAGCGACGUUCGCUGAUUUUUAGUGCAGAGGGUGUCGGCUCGAGGAUCGGGUGCGUGGGCGACGGUGGUGGCCAUCAGGAGUGAUCAGGCGUGUGACGCGAACGCAAGGAAAAGGACGCCUUCAUAGACAGCUACGCGUGCACGUGCACACAUGCGUGCACCGAGCGUGUAAAGAUACUUGUGCACGGCAUGGACUGAGUUGCCCGUCGAGGGAAGGAGAGCAGUAACAACCAUAAAAGGUGGAGAGGGGUGAGGAGAGAGGGAACGACAUCGGGGGAUGUAUGGCCACUUGUGUCCCUCUUCCCCUCCUCUGCACUUCUCUUCGCCUCUGCGCGCGAUGAUCUCGACCCUUUUCCCCCUCUUCCUCUUUUCGUUUCAUGCCUUUUUCCAUAGAAACACACCCACCCACAAAAACGUAAGAGGGGCCCGCAUGACAUCGUCUUUGUGGCUGCUGUCACUGCCGAUGCGCUCAGGCAUACGUGAACACGCACGGCACUGCGGACGCUGUCGUCUCUCGCCGCCUGCCCAUCUCCCUACCAGAGCGGCGAGCUGCAGCUGCAGCCGUAAGCGGCCAAGCGAAAAAAGAAAGCUAAGAGGGCAGAGAGAAAGGGAGGGGAGGGGGGGGCACAGAGAUGGGACGUGGCCAGCCUCCGCCGCUCGACACUUCGACAGUACGUCUUGAUGGUGGGGAGGCAUGCACGCCUGCCACUGCCGCUGCGCUAUGGAUCAUGACGAAUAACAUCUCGCUAUCCGUCAUACAUGUCUCCCUCCCUCUCUCUGGAACAUGCCGUCUACGUGCAUUGCUCUUCGCCAUUCGAGUGCGGCUGGCGGGGUGGGAGGUACACGUAG
rnacentral:misc_RNA from 1 species